AAUGAACGUUGGCGGCGUGGAUUAGGCAUGCAAGUCGAGCGAGAAGUGUAGCAAUACAUGGAAAGCGGCGAAAGGGAUAGUAACGCGUAGGUACCUACCCCGGGACUGGGACAGCGGCGGGAAACUGCCAUUAAUACCAGAUAACGUCUCCGGACCAAAGGUGUAAUUCCGCCUGGGGAUGGGCCUGCGUCCUAUCAGCUAGUUGGUGGGGUAACGGCCUACCAAGGCUACGACGGGUAGCGGGUGUGAGAGCACGACCCGCAUCACUGGGACUGAGAUACUGCCCAGACACCUACGGGUGGCUG
rnacentral:rRNA from 1 species